AACUUGUUCAUACACUCUAGAGUGGGGUGCUGGCUUUGUUUUCUCCCUGCACCCUGGUUUUUGAUGCUGGACUCAGUCCAUUUAAUGGAGUGUCAGAAGGAGUGCAUCAUCGACGAGGACUGUGGGCCCAGCAAGUACUGCCAGUUUGCCAGCUUCCAGUACACCUGCCAGCCAUGCCGGGGCCAGAGGAUGCUCUGCACCCGGGACAGUGAGUGCUGUGGAGACCAGCUGUGUGUCUGGGGUCACUGCACCAAAAUGGCCACCAGGGGCAGCAAUGGGACCAUCUGUGACAACCAGAGGGACUGCCAGCCGGGGCUGUGCUGUGCCUUCCAGAGAGGCCUGCUGUUCCCUGUGUGCACACCCCUGCCCGUGGAGGGCGAGCUUUGCCAUGACCCCGCCAGCCGGCUUCUGGACCUCAUCACCUGGGAGCUAGAGCCUGAUGGAGCCUUGGACCGAUGCCCUUGUGCCAGUGGCCUCCUCUGCCAGCCCCACAGCCACAGCCUGGUGUACGUGUGCAAGCCGACCUUCGUGGGGAGCCGUGACCAAGAUGGGGAGAUCCUGCUGCC
rnacentral:sRNA from 1 species